rnacentral:tRNA from 1 species
GGGAAGGUGGUUCAGUGGUAGAACGCUUGCCUUGCAUGCAUGAGGCCCUGG